rnacentral:tRNA from 1 species
GGGGAUAUAGCUCAGUGGCACAGCAUCUACUUGGCAAGUGCAAGGUCCUAAGUUCAAUUCCCAGUGCCCCCC